GAGGGUAUAGCUCAGUGGCAGAGUGCUUGCUCAGGAUGCAUGAGGUCCUGGGUUCAAUCCUCAGUUCUUCCA
rnacentral:tRNA from 1 species